UGAGCAGCUCAGAGUAAAUUUUUCAGGGUCUUGGUUUUAUAAAAUUAGUUGAAGGUACUGUUAAAUGAACUUUUGGCUUUGAUAAUGUUGAUAAAAUUACAGGACUUUUAGCAGUCUUAACUGAAGUAUAAAUGACUAAAUGAAUUACAGAUAAUGUGUGAUCUCACACGUUCUUACUUGGCCAUGAAACCAUUACCACAAUCAAGAAAAUGAACAAAUGGACAUCCCCUUCCUUAAAGACAGACAAUUUUGUUCUACAGACAAGAGGAGAGGAAGAUGAUUCUCUGGCCAUUAAACCACCCCAGCAAAUGUCUCGGAAAGAAAAAGCCCACCACAGAAAAGAUGAGAAGAGAAAAGAGAAGCGUAGACAUCGUAGCCAUUCAGCAGAGGGAGGUAUGAGAGUCUUUGCUUUCUUUUCUUCCAUGUGAUAGUCACAGCUCUUUGUUUCUUCUGUCGUGAUCUGCCUUCUUCAGUGUGUAUCUAAAAGUGAAGAUGAAUGGAAAUGUUAGCCACAAGCAUAAACUCACUGUAGACUUUGGAAUAUCUUUCUUUUUAUUUCUGAUAUGUGUACGUUUUCUUCUCUUUCCUUUCACGUUGUUUAGAAGUCAUUUGUCUGUAUAUACAAUUGCUCUCAUUUAGUGAGUAUAGGUGAAAAUACCAAAAAAAUUGAUAAUAAUAAUAAUGGGUGUUGGGGUCAAGUCCAGCUAAGAGAUUUGACUUGAGAGAUUUGAUCUUGGGCCUAUACCAGGAUGUGGUUUUUUAUUUCUUAAGCAAGAUCUUGCUGGGUAGCCCAGCCUGUCCAUCAGCACUGGAGAUGCUCCUCCAUCAGCCUCCUAAAUUCUGGGAUUACAGACAUUUUCUGCAUACUUAUCUUUCAAGGGGUUCUCAGGAGUAUGAGGAAAACAGAUCCUGAGACCUAUUUAAAU
rnacentral:lncRNA from 1 species